rnacentral:lncRNA from 1 species
GUUCUGGGCUUCUGGCUGCAUUCUAGGAAGAUCAUUCCUUAAAAGAAAUAGCCAUAUGGCUUAUAAGACAUGGAAUAAACUUGACAAGUGCUAAAGAUGCUCUUUGAUUUUUGUGUGGCAUGAGACCUCAGGCUGAAACUUCUCAUCUGAGCCAUUGAAGGGAGCCUCUCAUCUCUCCACCGAGAGGGGAGACCAGAAUGCUCUGUUUCUGGCAGGAAUCUGACACCACUUACUCCUUGGGUAGAAACUCCCCCAAGUCUGAACUAUGUGAUUGCCUGAGCCCUGCUUCUUGUUCAUUAAGACUGCUCCUCUGAAACGGAAUUGAUGAAUUUUUAGUGGCUAUUAGAAGCAUUUGGGAUCCAUAGGCAUCAGGGUUUGAUGCAUGGCCCUCAUCUCUGUGGGCUCCUGUGCAAUGAUUCUCAUCUGUCUUAGUUAGAAAGUGAAUUAAUCUUGACCUUGGCCUCAGGGGUGUGGUUCUCUGCCCUCUUACACAUCUUCAAUUCGCUUCUUUAUCAGAAGCACUUGUUUUAGGCCCAGGCUCCCCCAAUUUUAAUGACAUUUAGACAUUUGUCUUUAAGUUACAUUGCUUUGAUUUUAAUCAAAAUCUAUAUUUCUAGUAUUAUAUGUUUCCAGAAAGUUCUCAUUCUGGAUUGUAAUUUAAUUACAUGGAUCAUUAAAGCUUUGAAGGAUGCUAAUGGGCAGAAAAAAGAGACUUAACAAAACGAAAGUUAUUAUUAGGAAUUACAAAUCACUUAACAUUUCAACAUCACUCGUCGGAUGUGGGCAUUUUGUUGAAAGAGACCUUGUUUUGAACAGUGACAGUGCAGAAGACCUAUGGAAGAAACAAGCUUCCAACUUGAUUUCUAUUGUUAUGCAUGCAUAGCAAAUUAUUAAUUCUAUUCUAAUAGGGUAAUAGAUUUAGAAAUACUAUUAGCAGAAAACUUGAUGUAUUAGGCAAUACUACAUACCACAUUAGUCUAACCGCUCAACUGUAAUUUUUCAUCCAUACUUUCUUGGGAUGUAAAUAAAAUUGAUAUUAUACAAUGAAAAUAAAA